rnacentral:rRNA from 1 species
GACGAACGCUGGCGGCGUGCUUAAUACAUGCAAGUCGAACGGAAAGGCCCUGCUUUUGUGGGGUGCUCGAUUGGCGAACGGGUGAGUAACACGUGAGUAACCUGCCCUUGACUUUGGGAUAACUUCAGGAAACUGGGGCUAAUACCGGAUAGGAGCUCCUGCUGCAUGGUGGGGGUUGGAAAGUUUCGGCGGUUGUGGAUGGACUCGCGGCUUAUCAGCUUGUUGGUGGGGUAGUGGCUUACCAAGGCUUUGACGGGUAGCCGGCCUGGGAGGGUGACCGGCCUCAUUGGGACUGAGGUACGGCGCAGAAUCCUACGGGAGGCAGCGGUCGGGAGUAUUGCGCAGUGGGGGGGAGCCUGAUGCAGCAACGCCGCGUGCGGGAUGACCGCCUUCGGGUGAUAAACCGAUUUCGCAUGUGCCGAAGCGUGAGUGACGGUAAUGGGUAAAGAAGCACCGGCUAACUACGUG